rnacentral:rRNA from 1 species
AAACCGUUCAGGGGUAAACCUGAGAAACCCAAAAGAUCGAAUGGGGAGACUCAUCGUCAGCUGCGUUGGCUUGCGUGCGGCUCGCGAUGCUCGUUGGCGUUUCGGCGUUUUCAACGGGUACGCGGUCGCUGCGUUAUGUCCGAUGUUGGUCGGCGUGCACUUCUCCCCUAGUAGGACGUCGCGACCCGUUGGGUGUCGGUCUACGGCCCGCGAGGUUGACUGACGAGCCGCGUUCACGCGCGCGCUUGUCAGACCCGCGGUUGCCCGGCCGACUGCCCGGCGGUAAAGAUCGCUAUUCGAAUGGUAUCGAGCCGCAUUUUGAAUGCGUUCAUUA